rnacentral:lncRNA from 1 species
GCAGGUGGAUCACCCAGCCUGGGCAACAAGAGGGAAACUUCAUCUCAAAAUAACAACAACAACAAAAAAGAAAACAGAGGGAUCCCAGGUACCCGCCUUCACUCAGUUUCCCCAAUGGUAACAUCUCGCAGAACUACUGGGCGCCAUCACAGCCGGGGUCUGACUGCUCUUGCUCAGGUUUCCCCGGUUUUCCGUAUCCUCACGUGUGUGUAUUUACUUCUGUGCAAUUUUAUCGCAGGCCAAGGCAGGCGUGAGCCACUGCACCUGGCCCCAUCUUUCUACAACUGGGAAAAUUCUGAGUUCUGGAACCAUCUGCCCAGGGAUUUGGGGUCAGAGAUGGUGGGCCUUUCUGAUCCUGGUCUUUGCCAUGGUUAUGAUUGUGGCAUCCCUGCCUGUCUUCUAUCAUGUGCCUCAGCCUGUUUUUUUUCCUUUGCCAGGCUGCAAGCCCCUGAUAUCAGACUAACAGGAGCACAACAUUGCACGGUCUAAAGACACUACAUUAGGGUGAAAUUUUGUUCUUCUAUCUUCCCCCCUUGCAUGGAGAGGACCCUCAUUCCUGCCCCCACCCUCGCUUCACUGUGCCAGGCACAGGCAGAGCCCAGGUGCUGCCUCUGCUUGUCUGCAGUUGCCGACGAGGCCUGCGCUGAGCAUUUUGGCAAGUCUGGAGAAUUGAAGGCCCAGGCCCUUGGCCCUAUCACCGCAAUGCAGGCCCAGAGGUGGCAGGCGGGAGCUCACCGAUGGAUCUGCCAGUGUCAGUCCCAGAGCGGACCCCAGAAGUGUUCAGGCGUGGACUCGCACUGUCUGACAUUUCCAUCGAUGGCCUGCAUGAGGAAUGGGCGGUGAGCAUCCUCCUUCCAUCUCCAGCUGGGGGUGGAGGGUGUGAGCCUGCCCGCCGAGAGGAAGCCAGUUACAGAAUCAAAAUGACUCAGGCUGGGCUCUGUGGUGCG